rnacentral:rRNA from 1 species
AGUGAACGCUGGCGGUAGGCCUAACACAUGCAAGUCGAACGGCAGCACAGUAAGAGCUUGCUCUUACGGGGGGCGAGUGGCGGACGGGGGAGGAAAACAUCGAAAUCUACUUUUUCGUGGGGGAGAACGUAGGGAAACUUACGCUAAUACCGCAUACGACCUACGGGUGAAAGCAGGGGAUCUUCGGACCUUGCGCGAUUGAAUGAGCCGAUGUCGGAUUAGAUAGUUGGGGGGGUAAAGGCACACCCAGGCGACGCUCCGUAGCUGGUCGGAGAUGAGGAGAAGCCACCCCACAAUGGAGCCACGGUCCAGACUACUACGGGAGGCAGCAGAGGGGAAUAUUAGACAAUGGGCGCAAGGCUGAUCCAGCCAUGCCGCGUGGGGUAAGAAAGGCUUCGGGUUUGAAAUCCCAUCUGUUGGGAUAGAAAAGCAGAAUGUUAAUACCCAGCUUUUCUGAAGGUACCUAAAGAAUAAGCACCGGCUAACUUCGUG